rnacentral:lncRNA from 1 species
AGAAAAGCAGCUGGGCAUGGUGGCUCACACCUGUAAUCCCAACACUUUGGGAGGCCGAGGUUGGUGGAUCACCUGAGGGUCUCACUGUGUCACUCAGGUGGGAGUGCAGUGCCAUGAUCAUAGCCCACUGCUGCCUUGAUCUCCUGAGCUUAAGCGAUCCUCCCGGCCUCAGCCUCCAGAGUAGCUGGAACUACAGCACCCUAGAAGGAGAAUGACAGUAACCUGGAGUUCAUCUCUUUAAAAGAAACACCAGUCAGGGAUGGAGAUGUCUGCUCAUGGAUGAGAAGUUGCUUCUCUAGAAUUCACAUCGUGAACCAUUCAAGGUUUUUCAUCACUGCUCUCCGUCAGCUAUUCAAUCAAGCAUUGAGUUUCUAGAAUCUCUCCCAGAAAUAAAAGCUGACCAUACCCACCUACC